UAUACAACUAUGUAUAAAUGAAUAGAUAAAACUCCAUAACAGUAACCUCUUUAAUCAAGAACAUUAAAAAACGGUUUUCGUAAUAAUUUCUUUCAUAAUCCUCUUCUCAAUUGUUUGAUCCUGCUUAGAAUAGAUCCUCAGCACUAUUCACUUGUCGUCAGAAGUGAAUAAACGGGACGUUCCUUCGGAUGCAACCACAAACACCGAGGUACCGUGUCACAGCAGGUGUGUGUUAUCAACACCCCACCCUGCUCAAAGGUCAUAAACGUCGAUCAUAUGCCUAAAUUUUGCAGCCCUUCACCAGCAAUGGUGACGUAUCCAUAUGAGUGGUAAAAAACUGAACAACCGAUUGACAUGUACUUGUGCAUGCGCAUGCUAAGUCUCACCACCUCUCUCCUUUCCAGAAAUGCGUACGAUCAUGUGAUACCUUGUUGUGUUCUAAUCUAUAAAUAAGAGUCGAGUCAGUGAAAAGGUGUACUUGUGCAUGUUCAAGCUGACAGUUUUUCUUAGCCCCCAGUUUCACAUCGCUUUUAUAUUUUCAACAGGGAUUUCAAGAUCAACGGAAAUAAAAAAAAAAAUAAAAAAUUUCAUAAGAAGUGUAAAGCUUUCAAAAUCAAUCUACUUAAUAGAGAAAUUCAGUAAUUUCAUUAGGAGUGUAAUAUUGCAGAUUAUACAAUUUCGUAAUCCGUAAUGACAUGUAAAUGUGAUCACGUUAGUAUAGCACAUGUAAAACAAAACAGCUACAUUUAUUACCAAGUGUUGAACAAGUUGUUAUUACAUAUCAUAUAUUUGUGUAUUAUCUACCUUAGAUUAUGCAUUAUAUUCCAUCCAUCUUUGCCAUUAACUAAUCUAAUUUUAAUUACGAAUGACAGAACACCAGGAUGUUUUGAUGGGUACUACAGAAAUGAGACAAGUGGGACAUGCAUCCGUGAGUAACCAGCUAGUACUGAAACUAGGGAGGAGUUGUUUUGUAACUAGAUGUGAUAAGAGAGUAUCAUCUUCAUAACUAUAGACUUGUUAGCAAUGUUAUUUUUAUUUGUCUAUAUGUCUUUUACGCCUCCUCGAGAAGUAACGCUUGUGCAGAGUCGUAACCAGCUGUAGGUGAAAUGGUUACAUAUUUUGACCCGUGCAGAGCACAUUGAGAUUUCUUAUUCGUGACAAUACAUACAUGACACGGAACCUCAAUGUGUGAGGUCAUAUCCGACAAAAACCCAUUGCCUUUCACCUCUAAUGCUGGGAUCUUGGUGAAGGAACAGUCGCCACCUAUGUUAAACGUCAUACGUUUGAUGAAAAUCGAAGCCGGGCCAUCCGGUUGCGAAACAAGCACUCUCACCAGUCGUGAGGAAUGUCCUUAAGGAUAUGAAUAUUAAUUUCAGAAUAUGUUUUGUUAUUUAGUUAUUUAGAAUAUAAUAUACAGUUCACUGCCUAAAAAGUUCCAUCCAUCAACUGUUAUGGUACUAACAUACUGCACAAUAUGUAAACAAAUAAUCCAAUGUUUAAAUUUCUUUAACUUAUAGAUCAAUAGUGAUGGGGGGGGGAACUUUCACUAAGUGAAUGUUUUGUUAUGUUAAGGAUGUGUAAAGUGUUCAAUGUUUGUUUUGACAGAAUGCGCCCCAGGAUACACAGGCCCAAAUUGUUCCGUACCCUGUGUAAAUGGAUUCUACGGAAAGAAUUGUCAAGAUAAAUGUUCCUCCACCUGCUCAAACUGUAGCAGUAUCGAUGGAAGUUGCCCCAAAGACAUGAUUAACACAACAAGUCACUUAAUCCAAAGACGGAGCAGAUCAGCAUUCUACAUUGUGACUACGUUCGGCUGUGUGACAGUGUUGGCUUUAUUACUGGUACUGAUGUUCUACAUUUAUAAGUUGGCUACACAACCUUUACCACAGAACUUCACUUUUACGGUGCAGGAUCCUGAGAGUGAAGCUGGGCGAAAUAUCGUGAAUCCCGCUUGCGGUUCUAUUUACGAAAAUAUUUAAUAACGCUAAAGGAUUUUUUUUCAAAUGGCACAUACAUGUAUUUUGAUGAGGGUCAGGGAAAAGUAUCGUGUCAUAUCAAGGACUGUAAGUUUGAAACAUAAUCGAAUGAAAACAAAUAUGAUAUUGAUUAAGAAGUAAAAUUAACACUGGUCAUGUAUAUUUGGUUGAGGAUUCCCGGAAUGAAAUUUGUUUGAAUGCAAAUAUUUUGUGAGAAGAUAGAUAGGGAAUCCCUCAUUUUGAUUGGAAGGGAUUUUCACAUCACCAAUGCAGUUGUUUUUUGUUUGAUAGUUUAUAACAAGAGGUCUUGCUUUGAAAGUUGUGAAAUUCACAGGUGAUAAUGAGAUGAACAAUUCUAAUUAUUUUAACAGAUAAACAACAAUAACUUAAUUUUACUUUACAAGAUAUUCAAGAUUUUAUCAUUUCUUUUUCUAUUUUUUUUUUUGUUGGUUAAUUGAUGUUUCGUAAUAAAA